rnacentral:rRNA from 1 species
AUUGAACGCUGGCGGAAUGCUUUACACAUGCAGGUCGAACGGCAGCACGGACUUCGGUCUGGUGGCGAGUGGCGAACGGGUGAGUAAUAUAUCGGAACGUGCCCAGUCGUGGGGGAUAACGUAGUGAAAAUUACGCUAAUACCGCAUACGAUCUAUGGAUGAAAGCGGGGGAUCGCAAGACCUCGCGCGAUUGGAGCGGCCGAUGUCAGAUUAGGUAGUUGGUGGGGUAAAGGCCCACCAAGCCAACGAUCUGUAGCUGGUCUGAGAGGACGACCAGCCACACUGGAACUGAGACACGGUCCAGACUCCUACGGGAGGCAGCAGUGGGGAAUUUUGGACAAUGGGCGAAAGCCUGAUCCAGCCAUUCCGCGUGCAGGAUGAAGGCCCUCGGGUUGUAAACUGCUUUUGUACAGAACGAAAAGGUUUCUACUAAUACUAGGAGCUCAUGACGGUACUGUAAGAAUAAGCACCGGCUAACUACGUGCCAGCCGCCGCCGUAA